GCAGUCGUGGCCGAGUGGUUAAGGCGACGGACUAGAAAUCCGUUGGGUUUUUCCCGCACAGGUUCGAAUCCUGUCGACUGCG